rnacentral:rRNA from 1 species
GCAGGUACCGUCAUCACAUGGCAUGUUGUACCAUGCUUAUUCUUCCCUGCUUAAUGGACUUUACAACCCAAAGGCCUUCAUCGUCCACGCGGCGUCGCUGCGUCAGGCUUUCGCCCAUUGCGCAAGAUUCUUA